GAUCAUAGCUCAGGAUGAACGCUAGCUACAGGCUUAACACAUGCAAGUCGAGGGGCAGCAUGGUCUUAGCUUGCUAAGGCCGAUGGCGACCGGCGCACGGGUGAGUAACGCGUAUCCAACCUGCCUUACACUCUUGGACAGCCUUCUGAAAGGGAGAUUAAUACAAGAUGUUAUCAUGAGUAAGCAUUUUCGCAUGAUUAAAGGUUUACCGUGUAGANGGGAGUGCGU
rnacentral:rRNA from 1 species